GGGAUCCUUUGCUUCAAGGGGAUCUGGAGUCGAAAUAUUUGUGAGUAAACUCGUGGCAUACAGGAAUACAACAGUCCCUGAAAAGACCUUCAAAAACUGGCCAAAGAUGAUGCAACUUUACCAUCUUGUACCUUGCACACAACCGCAAAGCAGGUUUCAGA